rnacentral:rRNA from 1 species
GAGGCGAUGAAGGACGUGCUAAUCUGCGAAAAGCGCCGGCGAGGUGAUAUGAACCCUUGACCCGGCGAUGUCCGAAUGGGGAAACCCAGUGCAAUCCGUUGCACUAUCGUUAACUGAAUACAUAGGUUAACGAGGCGAACCGGGGGAACUGAAACAUCUAAGUACCCCGAGGAAAAGAAAUCAACCGAGAUUCCCCCAGUAGCGGCGAGCGAACGGGGAGCAGCCCGGAGUCUGAAUCAGCUUGUGUGUUAGUGGAACGGUCUGGAAAGUCCGACGGUACAGGGUGAUAGUCCCGUACACGAAAAUGCACAUGCUGUGAACUCGAAGAGUAGGGCGGGACACGUGGUAUCCUGUCUGAAUAUGGGGGGACCAUCCUCCAAGGCUAAAUACUCCUGACUGACCGAUAGUGAACCAGUACCGUGAGGGAAAGGCGAAAAGAACCCCGGCGAGGGGAGUGAAAAAGAACCUGAAACCGUGUACGUACAAGCAGUGGGAGCCUCUUUAUGGGGUGACUGCGUACCUUUUGUAUAAUGGGUCAGCGACUUAUAUUCUGUAGCAAGGUUAACCGUAUAGGGGAGCCGAAGGGAAACCGAGUCUUAACUGGGCGUUAAGUUGCAGGGUAUAGACCCGAAACCCGGUGAUCUAGCCAUGGGCAGGUUGAAGGUUGGGUAACACUAACUGGAGGACCGAACCGACUAAUGUUGAAAAAUUAGCGGAUGACCUGUGGCUGGGGGUGAAAGGCCAAUCAAACCGGGAGAUAGCUGGUUCUCCCCGAAAGCUAUUUAGGUAGCGCCUCGUGAACUCAUCUUCGGGGGUAGAGCACUGUUUCGGCUAGGGGGCCAUCCCGGCUUACCAACCCGAUGCAAACUACGAAUACCGAAGAAUGUUAUCACGGGAGACACACGGCGGGUGCUAACGUCCGUCGUGAAGAGGGAAACAACCCAGACCGCCAGCUAAGGUCCCAAAGUCAUGGUUAAGUGGGAAACGAUGUGGGAAGGCACAGACAGCCAGGAUGUUGGCUUAGAAGCAGCCAUCAUUUAAAGAAAGCGUAAUAGCUCACUGGUCGAGUCGGCCUGCGCGGAAGAUGUAACGGGGCUAAACCAUGCACCGAAGCUGCGGCAGCGACACUAUGUGUUGUUGGGUAGGGGAGCGUUCUGUAAGCCGUUGAAGGUGUGCUGUGAGGCAUGCUGGAGGUAUCAGAAGUGCGAAUGCUGACAUAAGUAACGAUAAAGCGGGUGAAAAGCCCGCUCGCCGGAAGACCAAGGGUUCCUGUCCAACGUUAAUCGGGGCAGGGUGAGUCGACCCCUAAGGCGAGGCCGAAAGGCGUAGUCGAUGGGAAACAGGUUAAUAUUCCUGUACUUGGUGUUACUGCGAAGGGGGGACGGAGAAGGCUAUGUCAGCCGGGCGACGGUUGUCCCGGUUUAAGCAUGUAGGCGGAGGUUCCAGGUAAAUCCGGUACCUUGUUAACGCUGAGGUGUGAUGACGAGGCACUACGGUGCUGAAGUGAUAAAUGCCCUGCUUCCAGGAAAAGCCUCUAAGCAUCAGGUAACACGAAAUCGUACCCCAAACCGACACAGGUGGUCAGGUAGAGAAUACCAAGGCGCUUGAGAGAACUCGGGUGAAGGAACUAGGCAAAAUGGUGCCGUAACUUCGGGAGAAGGCACGCUGAUGUGUAGGUGAAGCCCCUGCGGGCGGAGCUGAAAUCAGUCGAAGAUACCAGCUGGCUGCAACUGUUUAUUAAAAACACAGCACUGUGCAAACACGAAAGUGGACGUAUACGGUGUGACGCCUGCCCGGUGCCGGAAGGUUAAUUGAUGGGGUUAGCGGCAACGCGAAGCUCUUGAUCGAAGCCCCGGUAAACGGCGGCCGUAACUAUAACGGUCCUAAGGUAGCGAAAUUCCUUGUCGGGUAAGUUCCGACCUGCACGAAUGGCGUAAUGAUGGCCAGGCUGUCUCCACCCGAGACUCAGUGAAAUUGAACUCGCUGUGAAGAUGCAGUGUACCCGCGGCAAGACGGAAAGACCCCGUGAACCUUUACUAUAGCUUGACACUGAACACUGGUCCUUGAUGUGUAGGAUAGGUGGGAGGCUUUGAAGCGUGGACGCCAGUCUGCGUGGAGCCAACCUUGAAAUACCACCCUUUAAUGGCUGGUGUUCUAACGUAGACCCGUAAUCCGGGUUGCGGACAGUGUCUGGUGGGUAGUUUGACUGGGGCGGUCUCCUCCCAAAGAGUAACGGAGGAGCACGAAGGUUGGCUAAUCCUGGUCGGACAUCAGGAGGUUAGUGCAAUGGCAUAAGCCAGCUUGACUGCGAGCGUGACGGCGCGAGCAGGUGCGAAAGCAGGUCAUAGUGAUCCGGUGGUUCUGAAUGGAAGGGCCAUCGCUCAACGGAUAAAAGGUACUCCGGGGAUAACAGGCUGAUACCGCCCAAGAGUUCAUAUCGACGGCGGUGUUUGGCACCUCGAUGUCGGCUCAUCACAUCCUGGGGCUGAAGUAGGUCCCAAGGGUAUGGCUGUUCGCCAUUUAAAGUGGUACGCGAGCUGGGUUUAGAACGUCGUGAGACAGUUCGGUCCCUAUCUGCCGUGGGCGCUGGAGAAUUGAGGGGGGCUGCUCCUAGUACGAGAGGACCGGAGUGGACGCAUCACUGGUGUUCGGGUUGUCAUGCCAAUGGCACUGCCCGGUAGCUAAAUGCGGAAGAGAUAAGUGCUGAAAGCAUCUAAGCACGAAACUUGCCCCGAGAUGAGUUCU